rnacentral:rRNA from 1 species
AGGAUUAACGCUGGCGGCGUGCAUGAAACAUGCAAGUCGAGCGCGGUGUGAUGCGGGGUAACCCAAUUCACAUCUAGCGGCGAACGGGUGAGUAACACGUGAGCAACCUACCUUUGAGUUGGGGAUAGCCCUGCGAAAGCAGGAUUAAUACCCGAUGUGGUCACAACAGGACAUCCUGAUGUGAGUAAAGGCGCAAGCCGCUCAAUGACGGGCUCGCGGCCUAUUAGCUUGUUGGUGGGGUAACGGCCUACCAAGGCGAUGAUGGGUAGCUGGUCUGAGAGGACGAUCAGCCACACUGGGACUGAGACACGGCCCAGACUCCUACGGGAGGCAGCAGUUAGGAAUUUUCCGCAAUGGGCGAAAGCCUGACGGAGCAACGCCGCGUGAGUGAUGAAGACCUUCGGGUUGUAAAGCUCUGUCGGAGGGGAAGAACACAAUGACGGUACCCUCCAAGAAGCCCGGCUAACUACGCGCCAGCAGCCG